CCUGAAUGAGGUCCCUACAAACACUGUGUCAUUCCACCCACCUGAGGUCCCUACAAACACUGUCACUCCACCCGCCUGAGGUCCCUACACUGUGUCAUUCCACCCACGUGAGGUCCCUACACUCUGUCAUUCCACCCACGUGAGGUCCCUACGAACACUGUGUCAUUCCACCGGCCUGAGGUCCCUAUAAACACUGUCAUUCCACCCGCGUGAGGUCCCUACACUGUGUCAUCCUACCCGCCUGAGGUCCCUACAAACACUGUCAUUCCACCCGACUGAGGUCCCUACACUGUGUCAUUCCACCUGCGUGAGGUCCCUACACUGUGUCAUCCCACCCGCCUGAGGUCCCUACACUGUGUCAUUCCACCUGCCUGAGGUCCCUACAAACACUGUGUCAUUCCACCCGCCUGAGGUCCCUACAAACACUGUGUCAUUCCACCCGCCUGAGGUCCCUACACUGUGUCAUUCCACCCACCUGAGGUCCCUACAAACGCUGUGUCAUUCCACCCGCCUGAGGUCCCUACACUGUGUCAUUCCACCCACGUGAGGUCCCUGCAAACACUGUGUCAUUCCACCCGUGUGAGGUCCCUACAAACACUGUGUCAUUCCACCCGCCUGAGGUCCCUACACUGUGUCAUUCCACCCACGUGAGGUCCCUACACUGUGUCAUUCCACCCACCUGAGGUCCCUACACUGUGUCAUUCCACCCACCUGAGGUCCCUACAAACGCUGUGUCAUUCCACCCGCCUGAGGUCCCUACAAACGUUGUGUCAUUCCACCUGCGUGAGGUCCCUACAAACACUGUCAUUCCACCCGCCUGAGGUCCCUACAAACACUGUCAUUCCACCCGACUGAGGUCCCUACAAACACUGUGUCAUUCCACCUGCGUGAGGUCCCUACACUGUGUCAUUCCACCCGCCUGAGGUCCCUACACUGUGUCAUUCCGCCUGCCUGAGGUCCCUACAAACACUAUGUCAUUCCACCUGCCUGAGGUCCCUACAAACACUGUGUCAUUCCACCCGCCUGAGGUCCCUACAAACGCUGUGUC
rnacentral:lncRNA from 10 species